rnacentral:ncRNA from 1 species
UUAUCGUUAUUUCGUUGCCGCAAAAUCGGCAACCAGGUUUAGCAGCCUGAACA